ACAAACGCUGGCGGCGUGCCUAAUACAUGCAAGUCGAACGAGGAAAGCUUUCGGGUGAGUACUAGUGGCGCACGGGUGAGUAAUGCAUGGAUAAUCUACCUCAAAGAGGGGAAUAACUAUCCGAAAGGAUGGCUAAUACCGCAUAAGACCACAGUUGCUGCGGCAACAGGGGUUAAAGGUUUUUCACUUUGAGAUGAGUCCAUGUGGGAUUAGCUAGUUGGUGAGGUAAUGGCUCACCAAGGCUGUGAUCCCUAGCUGGUCUUAGAGGAUGAUCAGCCACACUGGAACUGAGACACGGUCCAGACUCCUACGGGAGGCAGCAGUAGGGAAUAUUGCGCAAUGGGGGAAACCCUGACGCAGCGACGCCGCGUGAGUGAUGAAGGCCUUCGGGUCGUAAAGCUCUGUCGCAGGGGAAUAAAUUUUGAAGGUACCCUGUAAGAAAGGAUCGGCUAACUUCGU
rnacentral:rRNA from 1 species